GAGGGUAUAGCUCAGUGGUAGAGUGCUUGCUAACAUACAUGAGGUCCUGGGUUCAAUUCCCAGUGCCUCCA
rnacentral:tRNA from 1 species